GAUGAACGCUAGCUACAGGCUUAACACAUGCAAGUCGAGGGGUAACAAGAGAAAAGCUUGCUUUUCUUGUUGACGACCGGCGCACGGGUGAGUAACGCGUAUCCAACCUGCCUAUAACUAGGGAAUAACCUUGCGAAAGUAAGACUAAUACCCUAUGAUUUCCUUUGAUGACAUCAGAUUAGGAAUAAAGAUUUAUCGGUUAUAGAUGGGGAUGCGUCUGAUUAGCUUGUUGGCGGGGUAACGGCCCACCAAGGCAACGAUCAGUAGGGGUUCUGAGAGGAAGGUCCCCCACAUUGGGACUGAGACACGGUCCAAACUCCUACGGGAGGCAGCAGUGAGGAAUAUUGGUCAAUGUGCGAAAGCCUGAACCAGCCAAGUAGCGUGCAGGAUGACGGCCCUAUGGGUUGUAAACUGCUUUUAUACAGGAAUAAAGUUAGCCACGUGUGGUUAUUUGUAGGUACUGUAUGAAUAAGGACCGGCUAAUUCCGUGCCAGCAGCCGCCGUAA
rnacentral:rRNA from 1 species